rnacentral:tRNA from 1 species
GGCGCCGUGGCUUAGCUGGUAAAAGCGCCUGUCUAGUAAACAGGAGAUCGUGGGUUCGAGUCCCACCGGGGCCU